GAAUUUAAGCCCCAGUAAACGGCGGUGGUAACUAUAACCAUCCUAAGGUAGCGAAAUUCCUUGUCGGGUAAGUUCCGACCUGCACGAAUGGCGUAACGACUUCUCCGCUGUCUCAACCGCGAACUCGGUGAAAUUGCAGUACGAGUAAAGAUGCUCGUUUCGCGCAGAAGGACGGAAAGACCCCGGGACCUUUACUAUAGCUUGGUAUUGGUGUUCGCUUGGACUUGUGUAGGAUAGGUGGGAGACUGUGAAGCUGCCGCGCCAGCGGUGGUGGAGUCGUCGUUGAAAUACCAUUCUGGUUCAAGCGGUCACCUCAACCUUGGCCCGUGAUCCGGGUUGGGGACAGUGCCUGGUGGGUAGUUUAACUGGGGCGGUUGCCUCCUAAAAUGUAACGGAGGCGCUCAAAGGUUCCCUCAGCCUGGUUGGUAAUCAGGUGGCGAGUGCAAGUGUACAAGGGAGCUUGACUGUGAGACCGACGGGUCGAGCAGGUGCGAAAGCAGGAACUAGUGAUCCGGCCAUGGCACGUGGGUGCGUGGUCGCUCAACGGAUAAAAGGUACCCCGGGGAUAACAGGCUGAUCUUGCCCAAGAGUCCAUAUCGACGGCAUGGUUUGGCACCUCGAUGUCGGCUCGUCGCAUCCUGGGGCUGGAGUCGGUCCCAAGGGUUGGGCUGUUCGCCCAUUAAAGCGGUACGCGAGCUGGGUUCAGAACGUCGUGAGACAGUUCGGUCCCUAUCCUCUGUGCGCGCAGGAAAUUUGAGAAGGGCCGUCCCUAGUACGAGAGGACCGGGAUGGACGAACCUCUGGUGUGCCAGUUGUACCGCCAGGUGCAUGGCUGGUUGGCUACGUUCGGAAGGGAUAACCGCUGAAAGCAUCUAAGCGGGAAGCCUGCUUCAAGAUGAGAUUUCCACGCCCCCCCGUGGGGUGAGAGGCCCCCGCCAGACUAGCGGGUUGAUAGGCCAGAGGUGGAAGCACCGCGAGGUGCUCGUGAGCCGACUGGUACUAAUGGGCCAACACUAAACAAA
rnacentral:rRNA from 1 species